CACGUAGGGGGCGAGCGUUGUCCGGAUUCAUUGGGCGUAAAGGGCGCGCAGGCGGCCCGGAAAGUCGGAUGUGAAAACUCGAGGCUCAACCUCGAGCGUGCACCCGAUACUGCCGGGCUUGAGGCAGGUAGGGGAGAUCGGAAUUCCUGGUGUAGCGGUGAAAUGCGCAGAUAUCAGGAGGAACACCGGUGGCGAAGGCGGAUCUCUGGGCCGAUACUGACGCUGAGGAGCGAAAGCGUGGGGAGCGAACAGG
rnacentral:rRNA from 1 species